rnacentral:siRNA from 1 species
UGCUCUUGAGGAAAACCUGGUGAG